rnacentral:rRNA from 1 species
UACGGAGGGUGCGAGCGUUGUUCGGAAUCACUGGGCGUAAAGCGCGUGUAGGCGGCCCGGUAAGUCCGCUGUGAAAGUCGGGGGCUCAACCCUCGAAAGCCGGUGGAUACUGUCGGGCUAGAGUACGGAAGAGGCGAGUGGAAUUCCUGGUGUAGCGGUGAAAUGCGCAGAUAUCAGGAAGAACACCGAUGGCGAAGGCAGCUCUCUGGGACGGUACUGACGCUGAGGCGCGAAAGCGUGGGGAGCGAACAGG